rnacentral:rRNA from 1 species
AUUGAACGCUGGCGGCAUGCUUUACACAUGCAAGUCGAACGGUAACAGGCCGCAAGGUGCUGACGAGUGGCGAACGGGUGAGUAAUGCAUCGGAACGUGCCCAGUCGUGGGGGAUAACGCAGCGAAAGCUGUGCUAAUACCGCAUACGAUCUAUGGAUGAAAGCGGGGGACCGUAAGGCCUCGCGCGAUUGGAGCGGCCGAUGUCAGAUUAGGUAGUUGGUGGGGUAAAGGCCUACCAAGCCGACGAUCUGUAGCUGGUCUGAGAGGACGACCAGCCACACUGGGACUGAGACACGGUCCAGACUCCUACGGGAGGCAGCAGUGGGGAAUUUUGGACAAUGGGCGCAAGCCUGAUCCAGCGAUGCCGCGUGCAGGAAGAAGGCCUUCGGGUUGUAAACUGCUUUUGUACGGAACGAAACGGUCUGGGUUAAUACCCUGGGCUAAUGACGGUACCGUAAGAAUAAGCACCGGCUAACUACGUGCCAGCCGCCGCCGUAAAAC